rnacentral:lncRNA from 1 species
AUCUUUUAGAAAAACAAUAAAUAGAUGCUUUUGCAUCGGUCGCAAAUUCACCCGGGCCCAGGCGUUACAAUGAUCGAGUGACGAGUGAUGUACGUCGUUAUCAUUGGUUACGUUCAAACCGCGUUAAAUUAUGCCACAUGAACCAAAUCCUCCUUAGAUGUUUGCUACUAGUAGUAGUAGUACUUUGUUGAUGUAGCUAGGACAACAAGUCGUGAUUAUUUUUCCGUACUAGAUAUGGUCAGAGGCCGCACAACAACCCCAUAUCCAUUCCACAACCAUUAGACGCGGGAUUGUCAGGAACAUGGGAUCUGCACAUGAGCAAGUGGAAGGCUGAAAGAGCAGAAGGUUGAGCGGAGGAGUAAUCUGUGUAAUUAAGUUUUGUUUGUGAUUAGGCCUAUUGGGCCAAGGGUUUGGGCCGUCUGGCCUUGUAAGGAGAGGGUGUACUUAAACCCUGAAUCAUCUGUUAAUCGGUAGACAAGAUAGAGAAGAAAAACAACCACCAAACAGAAUUUCUGUUACCUGCGCUUGUCCUUCCCUCGGAGGCAGCCACCGUGGGUGCUCACGUCGGAGUUGGCGCUACUCCGGCCACGGGUCUCACACUUGGUAUCAAAGACGGGUCAGCAGUCGUUGCUGGACAGCGAUCACCAGCGUUGUCAAUACGGCGCCUAUCACCAAACCAUCGAUGCAGACACGUUUUGUUUUGGAAGCCAUGGCGGAUCGAGAUAGGCAAACUCAGGAGAGUUUGAGCAAGGUCAUGGAGACUCUGGUAGUGGUGAGUGAUCGAUUGAAGGAUGUCGAGCACGUGCAACAGCAGAUGAUGAUGCGCACGGAUUUGGCUGCGUCUGUUGCUGAGCAGGCGACGAAGGAGCGAGUCGAGUUAUGUUGUAAGGUGGAAGAAACAGGGAAGGUGUUGGCCCAGAUACGUUUGGAAUUGAUGGGGAAGCAGUUGGAGGAUUCUUCUGGGGGAGCGGAAUUUCCAUCUUCAGCUCAUCAACAUCACAGUG